GUGCUCACUUCAGCAGAACAUAUCCUAAAAUUAGAAUGAUACAAAGAAGGUUAGCAUGGCCCCUGUACAAGGAUGACACACAAAUUCGUGAAAUGCUCCAUAUUUUU